ACUGGUCCACGUACAGCUGGGCCUCGCUGGCCUUGAGGAAGGCCAUGAACCUGGCGGUGAAGGAAGCCACAAAGAUGGACAGCAUGCCGAAAUCCAGCAGGUUCCACAGGUGACGGCUGAGAAAGGGUUUUGAUCUACAAGUUGAGAAAUGCUGGCCUUCACUACUGCUUUGAUGUAUAGACUUUCUGGACCUGUCACUGUCUGGUACUGUGGCCACCUUGUUACCCUCCAGCGGUCAUCACACUGUGUCUUGUGACUGUCUGAGUUUUCAUAAGCAGCAAGGGAAGCUGGAGACUCUGUCAGAGGAGCAGAUAUGGGCUACCAGAUCCGUGUCUUCCAGGAAGUCCAUCAAAGAAAGAUGGAGACACUUUGAGAAAGACACAACUCUUAAAGAUA